GUUAAAAAGCUCGUAGUUGGAUUUCUGGUGGGAGCGCCCGGUCCUGACCUAACGAUUUGUGUACUGGCGGCGCCUUUCGCCAUCCUUGGGGAGAGCGUGUUGAGCAUUAAGCUGUUUGGCAUGGGAUCCUCAUCAUUUACUGUGAAAAAGUUAGAGUGUUUAAAGCAGGCAAUUGCUGUGAAUACAUUAGCAUGGAAUAAUAAGAUAGGACUUUGGUGCUAUUUUGUUGGUUUGCACACCGAGGUAAUGAUUAACAGGGACAGUUGGGGGUAUUCGUAUUUAAUUGUCAGAGGUGAAAUUCUUGGAUUUAUGAAAGACGAACUACUGCGAAAGCAUUUACCAAGGAUGUUUUCAUUAAUCAAGAACGAAAGUUAGGGGAUCGAAGAUGAUUAGAUACCAUCGUAGUCUUAACCAUAAACUAUGCCGACUAGGGAUUGGCAGACGUUAUUUGAUGACUCUGUCAGCACCUUAUGAGAAAUCAAAGUCUUUGGGUUCCGGGGGGAGUAUGGUCGCAAGGCUGAAACUUAAAGGAAUUGACGGAAGGGCACCCACCAGGAGUGGAGCCUGCGGCUUAAUUUGACUCACCACGGGAAAACUUACCAGGUCCAGACAUAGUAAGGAUUGACCGAUUGAGAGCUCUUUCUUGAUUCUAUGGGUGU
rnacentral:rRNA from 1 species